CAGCAGCCGCGGUAAUACGGAGGGUGCAAGCGUUAUCCGGAAUCAUUGGGUUUAAAGGGUCCGUAGGCGGGCUAUUAAGUCAGUGGUGAAAUGCAGGCGCUUAACUCCGGCACUGCCAUUGAUACUGUCAGACUUGAAUUAUGGUGAAGUGGGUAGAAUAUGUAGUGUAGCGGUGAAAUGCUUAGAUAUUACAUAGAAUACCAAUUGCGAAGGCAGAUCACUAACAAUUUAUUGACGCUGAUGGACGAAAGCGUGGGUAGCGAACAGGAUUAGAUACCCUGGUAGUCCACGCCGUAAACGAUGGUUACUAGCUGUUCGGCGGCAUCGUCCUGAGUGGCCAAGCGAAAGUGAUAAGUAACCCACCUGGGGAGUACGUUCGCAAGAAUGAAACUCAAAGGAAUUGACGGGGGCCCGCACAAGCGGUGGAGCAUGUGGUUUAAUUCGAUGAUACGCGAGGAACCUUACCUGGGCUUAAAUGCAGAUUGACAGGCUUAGAGAUAGACUUUUCCUUCGGGACACUUUGCAAGGUGCUGCAUGGUUGUCGUCAGCUCGUGCCGUGAGGUGUCAGGUUAAGUCCUAUAACGAGCGCAACCCCUAUCACUAGUUGCCAGCGAGUAAUGUCGGGGACUCUAGUGAGACUGCCGGUGCAAACCGUGAGGAAGGUGGGGAUGACAUCAAAUCAUCACGGCCCUUACGUCCUGGGCCACACACGUGCUACAAUGGUAGGGACAGA
rnacentral:rRNA from 1 species